rnacentral:rRNA from 1 species
GACGAACGCUGGCGGCGUGCUUAACACAUGCAAGUCGAACGGAAAGGCCCUGCUUUUGUGGGGUGCUCGAGUGGCGAACGGGUGAGUAACACGUGAGUAACCUGCCCUUGACUUUGGGAUAACUUCAGGAAACUGGGGCUAAUACCGGAUAGGAGCUCCUGCUGCAUGGUGGGGGUUGGAAAGUUUCGGCGGUUGGGGAUGGACUCUCGGCUUAUCAGCUUGUUGGUGGGGUAGUGGCUUACCAAGGCUUUGACGGGUAGCCGGCCUGAGAGGGUGACCAGCCACAUUGGGACUGAGAUACGGCCCAGACUCCUACGGGAGGCAGCAGUGGGGAAUAUUGCACAAUGGGCUGAAGCCUGAUGCAGCAACGCCGCGUGCUGGAUGACUGCCUUCGGGUUAUAAACCGCUUUCGCCUGUGACGAAGAGUGAGUGACGGUAAUGGGUAAAGAAGCACCGGCUAACUACGUG